AGAGUUUGAUCCUGGCUCAGAACGAACGCUGGCGGCAGGCUUAACACAUGCAAGUCGAACGAGAAGCCACCUUCGGGUGGUGGACAGUGGCAGACGGGUGAGUAACGCGUGGGAACGUGCCUUUCGGUUCGGGAUAACCCAGGGAAACUUGGACUAAUACCGGAUACGCCCUUCGGGGGAAAGAUUCAUUGCCGAAAGAUCGGCCCGCGUCGGAUUAGCUAGUUGGUGAGGUAAAAGCUCACCAAGGCGACGAUCCGUAGCUGGUCUGAGAGGAUGACCAGCCACACUGGGACUGAGACACGGCCCAGACUCCUACGGGAGGCAGCAGUGGGGAAUAUUGGACAAUGGGCGAAAGCCUGAUCCAGCCAUGCCGCGUGGGUGAAGAAGGCCUUAGGGUUGUAA
rnacentral:rRNA from 1 species